rnacentral:rRNA from 1 species
UGGGGGAUAUUGCGCAAUGGGGGCAACCCUGACGCAGCAACGCCGCGUGAAGGAUGAAGGUUUUCGGAUUGUAAACUUCUUUUAUUAAGGACGAAAUUUGACGGUACUUAAUGAAUAAGCUCCGGCUAACUACGUGCCAGCAGCCGCGGUAAUACGUAGGGAGCAAGCGUUGUCCGGAUUUACUGGGUGUAAAGGGUGCGUAGGCGGCUUUGCAAGUCAGAUGUGAAAUCUAUGGGCUCAACCCAUAAACUGCAUUUGAAACUGUAGAGCUUGAGUGAAGUAGAGGCAGGCGGAAUUCCCCGUGUAGCGGUGAAAUGCGUAGAGAUGGGGAGGAACACCAGUGGCGAAGGCGGCCUGCUGGGCUUUAACUGACGCUGAGGCACGAAAGCGUGGGUAGCAAACAGGAUUAGAUACCCUGGUAGUCCACGCUGUAAACGAUGAUUACUAGGUGUGGGGGGGUCUGACCCCUUCCGUGCCGGAGUUAACACAAUAAGUAAUCCACCUGGGGAGUACGGCCGCAAGGUUGAAACUCAAAGGAAUUGACGGGGGCCCGCACAAGCAGUGGAGUAUGUGGUUUAAUUCGAAGCAACGCGAAGAACCUUACCAGGUCUUGACAUCCAACUAACGAAGUAGAGAUACAUUAGGUGCCCUUCGGGGAAAGUUGAGACAGGUGGUGCAUGGUUGUCGUCAGCUCGUGUCGUGAGAUGUUGGGUUAAGUCCCGCAACGAGCGCAACCCUUGCUAUUAGUUGCUACGCAAGAGCACUCUAAUAGGACUGCCGUUGACAAAACGGAGGAAGGUGGGGACGACGUCAAAUCAUCAUACCCCUUAUGACCUGGGCUACACACGUACUACAAUGGAUGUUAACAGAGGGAAGCAAGACAGUGAUGUGGAGCAAACCCCUAAAAACAUUCUCAGUUCAGAUUGCAGGCUGCAACCCGCCUGCAUGAAGAUGGAAUUGCUAGUAAUCGCGGAUCAGAAUGCCGCGGUGAAUACGUUCCC